AUUGAACGCUGGCGGCAUGCCUUACACAUGCAAGUCGAACGGUAACGCGGGGCAACCUGGCGACGAGUGGCGAACGGGUGAGUAACGCAUCGGAACGUGCCCAGUAGUGGGGGAUAGCCCGGCGAAAGCCGGAUUAAUACCGCAUACGACCUACGGGUGAAAGGGGGGGAUCGCAAGACCUCUCGCUAUUGGAGCGGCCGAUGUCAGAUUAGGUAGUUGGUGGGGUAAAAGCCUACCAAGCCGACGAUCUGUAGCUGGUCUGAGAGGACGACCAGCCACACUGGGACUGAGACACGGCCCAGACUCCUGCGGGAGGCAGCAGUGGGGAAUUUUGGACAAUGGGCGCAAGCCUGAUCCAGCCAUGCCGCGUGCAGGAUGAAGGCCUUCGGGUUGUAAACUGCUUUUGUACGGAACGAAAAGACUCUGGUUAAUACCUGGGGUCCAUGACGGUACCGUAAGAAUAAGCACCGGCUAACUACGUGCCAGCCGCCGCCGUAACAC
rnacentral:rRNA from 1 species